GACGAACGCUGGCGGCGUGCUUAACACAUGCCAGUCGAACGGAAAGGCCCUGCUUGCAGGGUGCUCGAGUGGCGAACGGGUGAGUAACACGUGGGUGAUCUGCCCCUUACUUUGGGAUAAGCCUGGGAAACUGGGUCUAGUACUGGAUAGGACCAUGCUGUAGGUGGUGUGGUGGAAAGAUUAGUUUCGGUAAGGGAUGAGCUCGCGGCCUAUCAGCUUGUUGGUGGGGUAAUGGCCUACCAAGGCGUCGACGGGUAGCCGGCCUGAGAGGGUGGACGGCCACAUUGGGACUGAGAUACGGCCCAGACUCCUACGGGAGGCAGCAGUGGGGAAUAUUGCACAAUGGGCGCAAGCCUGAUGCAGCGACGCCGCGUGGGGGAUGACGGCCUUCGGGUUGUAAACUCCUUUCAGCCAUGACGAAGCCCUUGUGGUGACGGUAGUGGUAGAAGAAGCACCGGCUAACUACGUG
rnacentral:rRNA from 1 species